rnacentral:misc_RNA from 1 species
AACGCACAUUGCGCCCUCUGGUAUUCCGGGGGGCAUGCCUGUUCGAGCGUCAUUGCAACCCCUCAAGCACGGCUUGUGUGUUGGGCCAUCGUCCCUGUGUGGACGGGCCUGAAAUGCAGUGGCAGCAUCGAGAUACCGGUGUCGAGUGUAUGGGCUUCCAUCACCACUCUGUAGACCCGAUCGGUGCUGGUCGUGAACAUCAUCUUCAUCCAGUUUGACCUCGGAUCAGGUAGGAAUACCCGCUGAACUUAA